rnacentral:tmRNA from 1 species
GGGGGUGUAAAGGUUUCGACGGGGAAUGUAAACCCUGAUAAGCGAGCGGCGGUGCGGAACCGCCAUAAAAUCCGCAGCUUAAAAAUAACUGACAACAAUAAAGUUGCAUUAGCUGCUUAAAGCAGCUCGUUCCUGUGCGGAGCACCUCGGCCGCAUAAGGAGCGUCGAACAGAGGUAAAGGUGAACGCGGAAGCGCUCUGAGCCGCGUCAUCAUUUAGGAGCUACCAAACCGCCGAGCCUGUCCGUGGGCGCGGCGGCAAGGGAAUGACAGUACACUGACUGCGCUCGGAGAAAGUCUCGGCAAGCAUUUUUCGGACAGGGGUUCGACUCCCCUCACCUCCACCA